CCCCUCUCAGGGUCAUACCUGGAGAGUCUCCAGUACUCUACCAGUCUCAACUAUGAGAGGGAGAGUCAAGCAGACACAUACCCAUUCCAUUCUAGCUUGGCCAGUAGCUAGCAAGUGAAAGACAAUCUGCUACAAGU